CAUAAGGAUUAUUGAGUCCAACUCUCUGCUCCUCACAGCACUACCUAAAAUUAAACCAUAUGUUUAAGAGUAUUGUCCAGAUGCUCUCCUUGAACUCUGACAGGCUUGGUGCUGUGACCACUUCCCUGGAAAGCCUGUUACAGUGACUAACCACCAUCU